AGCACUUCCGCGUGUUUGUUCAGCUGGUCGAGAAAGGCAUGGAAGAUGGGUGCAGAAGCAAACUCUCCUUUGCAGCCAGAACUCAUUGUUCAGCACGAGUUGUGAUGCAGACAAGAAGGUUUAUG
ensembl:snoRNA